rnacentral:rRNA from 1 species
GACGAAGGGGGCUAGCGUUGUUCGGAAUUACUGGGCGUAAAGCGAGUGUAGGUGGUUGUCGUAGUCAGGUGUGAAAGCCUUGAGCUCAACUCAAGAAAUGCACUUGAUACUCGGCGGCUAGAGGACCGGAGAGGAUAGUGGAAUUCCCAGCGUAGUGGUGAAAUACGUAGAGAUUGGGAAGAACACCAGUGGCGAAGGCGGCUAUCUGGACGGUUUCUGACACUAAGACUCGAAAGCGUGGGGAGCAAACAGG